AAAGAGAAAUGGCAACCAAAAUGGGAUGACUAUAAAUACCACCAGAGUCCAACUUCCAGGAAGAAGAAGAAGAAAAAGUAGUUUUAGCUCGAAAAAUGUUGAGAUCAGCGAUCUGGUUUGGCUUCGUAACCCUAGCUUUGUUCUUCCUCUCAUCGGCAUUCGCGGGCGACGUCGUUGUUUUGACUGAAGACAGCUUCGAGAAUGAGGUUGGUAAAGAUCGAGGCGCUCUCGUAGAGUUCUACGCUCCCUGGUGUGGGCACUGUAAAAAGCUUGCUCCAGAGUAUGAGAUGCUUGCUACAAGUUUCAAGAAGGCAAAAUCAGUUCUGAUUGGAAAGGUGGACUGUGAUGAGCACAAGAGUGUUUGUAGCAAAUAUGGGGUUGCUGGGUACCCCACAAUCAAAUGGUUUCCUAAAGGGUCGUUGGAGCCCGAAAAGUAUGAAGGUGCACGUACAGCUGAAGCCCUUGCUGCAUAUGUGAAUACGCAAGGAGGGACCAAUGUGAAAAUGGCUACAACUCCCUCAAGCGUAGUGGUACUAACUUCAGAUAACUUUGACGACAUUGUCUUGGAUGAAACAAAGGAUGUCCUGGUUGAGUUCUAUGCACCCUGGUGUGGCCAUUGCAAAAACCUUGCUCCUAUCUAUGAAAAGGUUGCGACAGCGUUUAAAAUGGAGGAAGAUGUAGUGAUUGCUAAUCUUGAUACCGACAAAUACAAAGAUCUGGGAGAAAAGUAUGAUGUAAGUGGCUAUCCUACAUUGAAAUUCUUUCCCAAGAACAACAAAGCUGGUGAAGAUUAUGGUGGUGGCCGAGAUUUAAAUGAUUUUGUUAAUUUUAUCAAUGAUGCCAGUGGCACUAGCCGUGAUGCAUCAGGGCAACUUACUUCACAUGCUGGUACAGUUGCAUCUUUGGAUAACUUAGUGAAGGAAUUUUUAAGUGCUAGUAAUGAUGAGAAGAAAGCGGUAUUUGCCAAAAUAGAGGAUGAAGUUCAGAAGCUUAAGGGUUCCACUGCGAGAUAUGGCAAGAUCUACUUGAAAUGUGCCAAAAGCUGUAUGGAAAAAGGUGCUGAUUAUGCCAAGAAUGAAAUCCAGCGACUGGCACGCAUGCUUGACAAGGCACUCAGCCCCGCGAAAGCUGAUGAGUUUACACUCAAGAGGAAUAUCCUUUAUUCCUUUGCCUGAUACGUAACAAGAAUCACAUCCUUGGUGUUGCAGCUCGGAGGUACCCAUAGGCUCCUUCCUGAGGAAUUGAAGAGGAAAAAGACAAAGAAAGGAAGGCAUUUCAAGAUGCAAAUGAUAACUAAGAGUUGCAUGGAAAAUAAACAAUGAAAGACUCAAUUUGGAUGAUGACCAUUUUGUCCCACCAAACAAAGGAACAUGCUUGUUUGGCCCUCUAUACUGUUCAAGGUUCCAUCAUCCAUGUGAAGCCUUAUCCAGAUUAGAGUGAUUAGAUCGGAUUGUUAGUUUGUGACAAGAAGUUUUUCCAGUAAUAAUUUACCUAACGUCAUCUUCAUUUUUCUGUAAUUGUCCCUUCCCCUCGGCUCUUCCAGCCACCAGAACAGCCCUUGAAGGGGCCCCUACCAUAUAUGUACUGAGUGUAACACACA